rnacentral:tRNA from 1 species
GGAUAUAGCCAAGCGGUAAGGCAACGGACUCUGACUCCGUCAUUUCGUUGGUUCGAAUCCAACUAUC